ensembl:lncRNA
GGAGGAUGCCAUCUAGGGAUCAAGAGACGUGUUAAGGAUCUCUCAAUCAAAACAAUGACAAGGGACAUAGUUUGAUGAUGUCGCAAAGGAGCUUCGGAACAUGGGAGCUUUCUUCACCGAACUUGGAGUUCCACGGGCGUCUUCUCUGUGGGGAAAAACCAUCAUCUUCCUCCCGUGGUCGUGAUUUGCGAUUGCGCCGAGACGAGGGUUCUACUCACGGCCCCUCGUCAAUGUGCUGGGGAGAGAGCGAGAGAAAAUCAAUGAGCAGCUCUACAAUGAAACACGUUUUUACCCAUUUUAAAUGGUAAGAAAAGGUAAGUGUGCUGGAAACACUAUUGAUUGCGAAUGGUGUCGUUCUCUCUGUGGGAUAAAAUGUAAAAUGCUGAAAUGGACCGUCAAACGUUGUUUGGCAG